AGAGUUUGAUCCUGGCUCAGGAUAAACGCUUGCGGCGUGCAUCAAACAUGCAAGUCGAACGCUCAGUCUUCGGACUGGGAGUGGCAGACGGCUGAGGAACACGUCGGUACCUAUCGUGGUGUGGGGAAUAUACCGCCGAAAGGUGGGGCAAUACCGCAUGUGCUCGGGCAACCGAGGAAAGCUCGCAAGGGCGCACGACGAGGGGCCGGCGGGCGAUUAGCUAGUUGGUGGGGUAAGAGCUUACCAAGGCAAUGAUCGCUAGCGGGUCUGAGAGGAUGACCCGCCAGACUGGGACGGAGGAACGGCCCAGACACCUACGGGUGGCAGCAGUUGGGAAUUUUGCGCAAUGGCCGAAAGGCUGACGCAGCAACGCCGCGUGGAGGACGACGCCUUUCGGGGUGUAAACUCCUUUUCUCCGGGACGAUAAUGACGGUACCGGGGGAAGAAGCCUCGGCUAACUACGUGCCAGCAGCCGCGGUAAUACGUAGGAGGCAAGCGUUGUCCGGAUUUAUUGGGCGUAAAGCGUGCGCAGGUGGUGCAGGAAGUGAUGUGUGAAAGCUCUUGGCUUAACUGAGAGAGGCCAUGUCAAACUCCUGGACUUGAGGGUCGGAGAAGCAGACGGAAUUCCGGGUGGAGUAGUAAUAUGCGUAGAGAUCCGGAGGAACACCAGGCGUAAGCGGUCUGCUAGACGAUGCCUGACGCUGAGGCACGAAAGCGUGGGGAGCGAACCGGAUUAGAUACCCUAGUAGUCC
rnacentral:rRNA from 1 species